GAUCAAAGUGCCAUUCUUUUGACGUAUGAAAGUUACAUUCCAUGAACAAAUGAAAGUGAGAUUUCUUUGAAUGACGAAUAACAAAUAAAAGAAGUUGACUAAGUCAAGACCUGACUCGGUCUUGACUCUUUUUAAGCAAAGCAGGACGCUAAGAAAACUCCAGCAAUUUAUCGCCCCAAAAAAAAAGGAAGACGAAGAAAAAAUGAGUUCUGGAAAUUCGUCUUCGGACAAAUUAUUGGAAGAUGGGGAGUCCUUUGAUUCUACUACAGAUGCAAUCAUCUAUGGCACUUCUGAUAUUUCAGAUUUGACCUUAAGCUUGAUCUCAGAUCCCAAUAUUCCUAAUUCGUCUGAUUCAUCGACGAGUAUAGACGACCACAUUUCGACUGCCGCAGGCGGUUGUGAUGAUAUGAUUGUGUCAUCAGGUGCAACUUCCAGGAUAUUUAAUAGUAGUACUGAUUUCAGGGCAUUUUCUAGGAAUAUUAGUGUUGUUUGCAAUAAUUACAGCGACAAAGUGGCCGAGGAAGGAUCUGCAGAGAGCAGUAACAGAAUGAGAUCUCGGGAUGGUCUUGAACUUUGUUUAGGUUUGAGAAUUGGCAGUGAGGCAGUGAACGAAGAACCACUUGUCAAAAUCUUAUUGGCUUGUGGCGAGGCAGUCCAACGAAACAACCUAGCUCUAGCUGAUGCACUAGUCAGGCUCAUAAGAGAACAUGCAGUUUCAGAAUUUGGAGCAAUGAAAAAAGUGGCAACUUAUUUCGCUGAAGCUUUGGAUCAAAGGAUUCAAGGAAUGAAUUUAGAAGAUAUUAUGGAAUUUUCUUGUUACACGGACAACAUCAUGCAGAUGCGCUUCCAUGAGAUUCGUCCGUACCUCGAAUUCGCCUAUUCCUCUGUCAAUCGAGCUAUUCUCGACGCCUUUGCCAAUUCUAGUAGAGUACAUAUAAUUGAUUUCAGCUUGAACCAAGGUCCGCAAUGGCUUGCACUUAUGGGAUUUCGCUUUGCGUCCUGGCGGUCCACCGGCUUUUCGGCUCACUGGAAUUGGCUCACCCGAUAACACCGAUGCCUUACGGCAACUCAAGUGGAAGCUCGCCGAGUUUGCCAAUAAAUUUGGCGUAGAAUUUGAAUUCCGUGGAAUCGUGGUCGACUCUUUAGCCGAUGUUGAUACUUCCAGGUUGGAUAUUAGGCCUAGUAAUUAUGAAGAAGUGGCUGUGAACUCUAUUUUCGAGUUUCACCAUCUGUUGUAUACACCAGGCGAAAUCGAGAAGGUGCUGAAUUCAAUCAAAGAGAUGCAUCCGAAGAUUGUGACCAUAAUCGAAGAAGAAGCAAAUCAAAGUGUCUUUAUGGACAGGUUUAACCACGCAUGGUCUUACUAUUCAAAAAUGUUUGGCUCCUUGGAAAACUCAGAGUCGACUCAUGAUCAGCACAACAGCGGUGACUCAAGGUUGGUGCAUGAGUACCUAGGUCAGCAGAUCAAUAACAUGGUGGCUUGCGAAUUAGGGACUGAGCUAGUUGAGACGACGCUGAGUGAAUGGCGAGUGAAGAUGAACUCAGCCGGGUUCAACCCGGUUCAGCUAGGUCCAAGCAUGUACGUACAAGCAACCAUGAUAUUGGCCUUGUUUAAAAAUAGGAAUGGAUAUCGAGUGGAACAGAAUGAUGGGUGUCUUACGUUGAGUUGGCAUGGUCGCCCACUCAUUUCCACCUCUGUUUGGCAGCUUACGCCGCCGCCGAGUCUAGGCUAGUCAGUCAUGGAUCGGAUGAACUCGUUAUCCUUUGUUUGAGCAAUAACUUUUACAGUAAGACCAUAUUUCUUUGGCUAAUUUAAAAGGAUCCUUCAAUUUA